rnacentral:rRNA from 1 species
GAGUUUGAUCCUGGCUCAGGACGAACGCUGGCGGCGUGCCUAAUACAUGCAAGUAGAACGCUGAAGACUUUAGCUUGCUAAAGUUGGAAGAGUUGCGAACGGGUGAGUAACGCGUAGGUAACCUGCCUACUAGCGGGGGAUAACUAUUGGAAACGAUAGCUAAUACCGCAUAACAGCAUUUAACCCAUGUUAGAUGCUUGAAAGGAGCAAUUGCUUCACUAGUAGAUGGACCUGCGUUGUAUUAGCUAGUUGGUGAGGUAACGGCUCACCAAGGCGACGAUACAUAGCCGACCUGAGAGGGUGAUCGGCCACACUGGGACUGAGACACGGCCCAGACUCCUACGGGAGGCAGCAGUAGGGAAUCUUCGGCAAUGGGGGCAACCCUGACCGAGCAACGCCGCGUGAGUGAAGAAGGUUUUCGGAUCGUAAAGCUCUGUUGUAAGAGAAGAACGUGUGUGAGAGUGGAAAGUUCACACAGUGACGGUAACUUACCAGAAAGGGACGGCUAACUACGUGCCAGCAGCCGCGGUAAUACGUAGGUCCCGAGCGUUGUCCGGAUUUAUUGGGCGUAAAGCGAGCGCAGGCGGUUUAAUAAGUCUGAAGUUAAAGGCAGUGGCUUAACCAUUGUUCGCUUUGGAAACUGUUAGACUUGAGUGCAGAAGGGGAGAGUGGAAUUCCAUGUGUAGCGGUGAAAUGCGUAGA